GGGGGUUGGCACAUGCAGGGCCAGGGGUUGGUGCACCCGUGGACAGGGGUUGGUGCACCCGUGGACAGGGGUUGUGCUCCACCCUUGGCUGGCACAAGGGCCACCAGCACCAUCUGCCUGACAAGCUGAGCUCUUACACGGGCUCCGGCACCUCAUCGUGGGUGCCGGGGAGGCCCCAGGAUGCUACAUGAGCAGAAAUUACUCAUCAAGAAAAAGCUGCGUGAAAGUAUGAGACACAGCCUCGAACCUGCUAUUACCGCUCCAGAUUGCCCGGCCAGGUUCGUCAUUAGCCCUCUCCAAAUAACAUCCCAUUGCAGCCCAAUUAAUUUGAUUAAUGCUGGGCCGGAUUCUUCUCCGGCGCUGGGAGGAGCGAGAGCCGGGCCGGGGUGAAUCGGCCCCGGCGGCAGCACCGCGUGCGUUGGUGCUGCAGCCGCGGUGUCUGCCGGAUCAUGUAGACACGAGAAGGUCUGUAAAGGUUGGGAUGGGAGAGACCGAGAAGUCGCCUCCUACGUCCACGACACGUCCGGCCCGAGAUGGUGAGAACGCCGCGGGUUCCUGGGGACAACGCGGGACGGCGGGGCAGGGGUGACGGUCCCAGUGCGGUGAACCCGGGUGGACGCCGGAGCCGUGGGCUCCGUCCCGCAGGAAACCAGGGGCUUGGGUUCCCGGGGAGCUUGUCCAUGGAGCGCUGCCAGGUUUAUCUUCCCAUCUGCUGCGCUCAUGAAAGCGCUAAUUGCUCGGGACAUGGCGCUGGGGCGGGGCAUCGAGCAGCCGGGCACCGUGCUCAUGGCAGCUCCGGGGUGAAAAUAAACCGUAUUUGCAGCAAUGGGGCCUGUUUUGCUUAAAAUGAGUGAAUUUACUUGUGAAGCAGCCCUGGUGUGAUCAAGCAAGGACAAGUCUCCAAUACUUUUUGGUAGAGCCGUUGUCAUUUUGGACACGGAGGAGAGAAAAUACAGAAUAAAUGUGGUUUUUGUUGGUUUGUAAGUUCUGGUUUUCUGUAUAACUCAAUAAAAAUGCAGGAUAAGUACA